GACGAACGCUGGCGGCGUGCUUAACACAUGCAAGUCGAACGGAAAGGCCCUGCUUUUGUGGGGUGCUCGAGUGGCGAACGGGGGAGUAACACGUGAGUAACCUGCCCUUGACUUUGGGAUAACUUCAGGAAACUGGGGCUAAUACCGGAUAGGAGAUCCUGCAGCAUGGGGGGGGAUGGAAAGUUUCGGCGGUUGGGGAUGGACUCGCGGCUUAUCAGCUUGUUGGUCGGGUAGUGGCGUACAAGGGCUUUGACGGGUAGCCGGCCUGAGAGGUUGACCGGCCACAUUGGUACUGCGGUACGGCCCAGACUCCUACGGGAGGCAGCAGGCGGGAAUAUUGCGCAAUGGGCGGAAGCCUGAUGCAGCAGCGCCGCGUGCGUGAUGACCGCCUUCGGGUUGUAAACCGAUUUCGCAUGUGACGAAGCGUGAGUGACGGUAAUGGGUAAAGAAGCACCGGCUAACUACGUG
rnacentral:rRNA from 1 species